UUUCGUUUAAAUACAGCAAGCAAAAUGGGCCAUAAAACAAUUGGGCCGAAAAACAUAAAGUUGUGCUGAAAUUAAAUUCGUCUGGAACAUAGAUACAAUUAUUUGACACACUUGCGCUCCGAACUGGGUUUUGGCCUCAACAUGAAAGAUGUAGCUCUUGAUCUCAGCUUUCCAACGCAUCUUCUCGCGCCUCAAUCCGAUAUUUGUAACUCCAGUUAUGACCUGCGGACUGGAAG
rnacentral:lncRNA from 1 species